CCUUAGAGUUUGAUCUGGCUCAGAGCGAACGCUGGCGGCAGGCUUAACACAUGCAAGUUCGAGCGGGCGUAGCAAUACGUCAGCGGCAGACGGGUGAGUAACGCGUGGGAACGUACCUUUUGGUUCGGAACAACACAGGGAAACUUGUGCUAAUACCGGAUAAGCCCUUACGGGGAAAGAUUUAUCGCCGAAAGAUCGGCCCGCGUCUGAUUAGCUAGUUGGUGAGGUAAUGGCUCACCAAGGCGACGAUCAGUAGCUGGUCUGAGAGGAUGAUCAGCCACAUUGGGACUGAGACACGGCCCAAACUCCUACGGGAGGCAGCAGAAGGG
rnacentral:rRNA from 1 species